UACAGAGGGUGCUAGCGUUGUUCGGAAUCAUUGGGCGUAAAGGGCGUGUAGGCGGUUUGUUAAGUCAUGUGUGAAAUCCCUCGGCUCAACCGGGGAACGACGCAUGAAACUGGCAAGCUAGAGUACCAAAGAGGGGGGUGGAAUUCCCGGUGUAGCGGUGAAAUGCGUAGAUAUCAGGAAGAACACCGAUGGCGAAGGCAGUUCUCUGGGACGGUACUGACGCUGAGACGCGAAAGCGUUGGGGAGCGAACAGG
rnacentral:rRNA from 1 species